rnacentral:misc_RNA from 1 species
UACGAAGGGGGCUAGCGUUGUUCGGAAUUACUGGGCGUAAAGCGCACGUAGGCGGAUAUUUAAGUCAGGGGUGAAAUCCCGCAGCUCAACUGCGGAACUGCCUUUGAUACUGGAUAUCUAGAGACCGAGAGAGGUAAGUGGAACUCCUAGUGUAGAGGUGGAAUUCGUAGAUAUUCGGAGGAACACCAGUGGCGAAGGCGGCUCACUGGCCAGAUACUGACGCUGAGGUGCGAAAGUGUGGGGAGCAAACAGG